GGUCAACACAGCUCCUCUUGAAACACGUUCAAGCACCAGGACCAUCUCCUUCUCCGUGCUGGGAGAUGAAAGUCUGCAGAUGAAAGUAUAUUUAUCUGCCCACCACUUCCCAUCAGAAAUGUUUCUUUCAGAGGGAACGUGGGAGUUUAUUUCUGACAGAUGAUGAAAAUAAAACCUGAGAAGCACCAUUUUGUUCUUUGACUUUUAGCUCACAGCGAGCUGUUUUUCAAAGUAUUUCCUUCUUUUAAGUGAUUUUUUUUUUUUACGUCUUUUCUAUAAUGUUUAUAGUCAGAAUUAAGCACAUUACGAGGAGCGUUAAGGUGUUUUGAUUUUGUGUUUGAAUCAACUCUAUGUAUGCAUUUAUGCUUCAAUCUUAUUUUUUAUUUCACCCUCUAAAGCAAAAUAUAGAGAAAAACUAAUCAUAUUUACUGAUGAUUAUUCUUUUGGUUAUAAAUAUGGAAUUUCAUAUGCAAGUUUUUAAAUUGUACCUGUUUUCCCCUCAAUAACUUAACACUAAAACCAUUAAACCUGCAAAAAAAUCACUAAAUAAAGAAAAUCAAUGUUUGCGUAGGAGUUUAAGCCUUUCUACCUAAAUCCAGCCCUACGAACAUCUGCACGUGGAUGGUGCAUUCACUGACUCGCGAAGAAGCUCAGACAUUUAGAUUUUCCUUAAAAUUGCAUUAUUUUUUUCGGUUUGCUGAAGUUUUGAGGUGGGAAACGAGCUCCUCACAGAACACAAAGGAUAUGUCAACAAUUCCACUCAUGAAAACAACACUUAGGAACGGAAAUAGUUACUAAGAAAAAUUGUCUAAAGAGGAAAAACACGUAAAUGUGAAUUUUUAGCAUCCGUUUGCUAGCAUUUUAAAAAGCUGCUUCCGGCUAAUUAGUGGUUAGCUUAUCUCACCUUGUUUCGUUAUAGUUUUACCACAAUUGAAUUUAUAUUUUAUUUUUUUCUGUAAACUUGAAAUUUUUUUUUUUUUUUUUUUUUUUUACAACACAGCUGUGACGUCCACUUGAAAACUUUAAGGUUAAUCUCUCUCCAUUGAGGGGAAAUGUCACUGCACACGCUGCAGUGCGCGGCUCAGACCUCCAGGUGGCGCCGGUUGAUCUCAUAGACAAUCUCCAGGUGUCGAGGCAGCAGAUGAGCAAACAAGUCCACCGGCCAGCGCUCCAGGGCUUCCGGGAGGACGGUGUGGUUGGUGUAUGCACAGGUGCGCACGCAGACAUCCCAGGCCUGAGGAGAGAGAGAGAAAAAAAA